rnacentral:rRNA from 1 species
AGUGGCGGACGGGUGAGUAACGCGUGGGUAACCUGCCUUAUACAGGGGGAUAACAGUCAGAAAUGGCUGCUAAUACCGCAUAAGCGCACAGUACCGCAUGGUACGGUGUGAAAAACUCCGGUGGUGUGAGAUGGACCCGCGUCUGAUUAGCUAGUUGGCAGGGCAGCGGCCUACCAAGGCGACGAUCAGUAGCCGACCUGAGAGGGUGACCGGCCACAUUGGGACUGAGACACGGCCCAAACUCCUACGGGAGGCAGCAGUGGGGAAUAUUGCACAAUGGGGGAAACCCUGAUGCAGCGACGCCGCGUGAGCGAAGAAGUAUUUCGGUAUGUAAAGCUCUAUCAGCAGGGAAGAAGAAAUGACGGUACCUGACUAAGAAGCACCGGCUAAAUACGUGCCAGCAGCCGCGGUAAUACGUAUGGUGCAAGCGUUAUCCGGAUUUACUGGGUGUAAAGGGAGCGCAGGCGGAAGGCUAAGUCUGAUGUGAAAGCCCGGGGCUCAACCCCGGUACUGCAUUGGAAACUGGUCAUCUAGAGUGUCGGAGGGGUAAGUGGAAUUCCUAGUGUAGCGGUGAAAUGCGUAGAUAUUAGGAGGAACACCAGUGGCGAAGGCGGCUUACUGGACGAUAACUGACGCUGAGGCUCG